rnacentral:rRNA from 1 species
AUAUAGGAUAAUGGGUGCAACCCUGAUCCAGCCAUGCCGCGUGUGUGAAGAAGGUCGUCGGAUUGUAAAGCACUUUAAGUUGGGAGGAAGGGCUUUAGGUUAAUACCUUGAAGUUUUGACGUUACCAACAGAAUAAGCACCGGCUAACUCUGUACCAGCAGCCGCGGUAAUACAGAGGGUGCAAGCGUUAAUCGGAAUUAAUGGGCGUAAAGCGCGGGUAGGUGGUUCAGUAAGAUGGGUGUGAAAUGCCCUGGCUUAACCUGGGAACUGCUUUCAUAACUGCUGAGCUAGGAUACGGUAGGAGGUAGUUGAAUUUCCUGUGUAGCGGUGAAAUGCGUAGAUAUAGGAAGGAACACCAGUGGCGAAGGCGACUACCUGGACUGAUACUGACACUGAGGUGCGAAAGCGUGGGGAGCAAACAG